GGUUAUGGCUCAGUGGUAGAGCACUCGCCCCAAAUGUGCGAGGCCCUGGGUUCGAUCCUCAGCACCA
rnacentral:tRNA from 1 species